rnacentral:rRNA from 1 species
AUUGAACGCUGGCGGCAUGCCUUACACAUGCAAGUCGAACGGUAACAGGUCUUCGGAUGCUGACGAGUGGCGAACGGGUGAGUAAUGCAUCGGAACGUGCCCAGUAGUGGGGGAUAGCCCGGCGAAAGCCGGAUUAAUACCGCAUACGACCUGAGGGUGCAAGGGGGGGAUCGCAAGACCUCUCGCUAUCGUGGCGGCCGAUGUCAGAUUAGCUAGUUGGUGGGGUAAAGGACUACCAAGGCAACGAUCUGUAGUUGGUCUGAGAGGACGACCAGCCACACUGGGACUGAGACACGGCCCAGACUCCUACGGGAGGCAGCAGUGGGGAAUUUUGGACAAUGGGCGCAAGCCUGAUCCAGCAAUGCCGCGUGCAGGAAGAAGGCCUUCGGGUUGUAAACUGCUUUUGUCAGGGAAGAAAUCUUCUGGGUUAAUACCUCGGGAUGAUGACGGUACCUGAAGAAUAAGCACCGGCUAACUACGUGCCAGCAGCCGCAGUAACAC